GACGAACGCUGGCGGCGUGCCUAAUACAUGCAAGUAGAACGCUGAAGCGAGGAGCUUGCUCUUCUUGGAUGAGUUGCGAACGGGUGAGUAACGCGUAGGUAACCUGCCUUGUAGCGGGGGAUAACUAUUGGAAACGAUAGCUAAUACCGCAUAACAAUGGAUGACACAUGUCAUUUAUUUGAAAGGGGCAAUUGCUCCACUACAAGAUGGACCUGCGUUGUAUUAGCUAGUAGGCGAGGUAAUGGCUCACCUAGGCGACGAUACAUAGCCGACCUGAGAGGGUGAUCGGCCACACUGGGACUGAGACACGGCCCAGACUCCUACGGGAGGCAGCAGUAGGGAAUCUUCGGCAAUGGGGGCAACCCUGACCGAGCAACGCCGCGUGAGUGAAGAAGGUUUUCGGAUCGUAAAGCUCUGUUGUAAGUCAAGAACGGGUGUGAGAGUGGAAAGUUCACACUGUGACGGUAGCUUACCAGAAAGGGACGGCUAACUACGUG
rnacentral:rRNA from 1 species